rnacentral:lncRNA from 1 species
ACCAUCGUCGCCUAACAGGCCUCGUUUGAGUUCUGGGUGGAUCGCAGGCGCCGGAUGCACCCUUCUCCAUGGCCGCAUGCAGCCAGGGGUGUGCUCAUCGCCUUCUCCGCCAGCAACUAGAUGAAUCCAUGGCGGCCGCAACCAUGGUUCGUUAGUCGCCAUGGCCAAGCUCCAAUCAACCAUGGUGGCGACGAGUUUGUGCUGGAACGGGGGUUUUGCUGGAACCGGGUUUUUGUUUUUGCUGGAUCCACCUAUUUUUAUUGCUACAAUCCUUCUUCUUUUUUGCUACCAUCCCCGUUCGAUUUUGGUGAACAUUUUUUGUUUUUGCUAGAACCUCUUUUGAUUUUUGCUGGAACCACUUCUUUUUUUGCUGGAACCUUCUUUUGGUUUUGUUGCAAUUGACGGGAUGGUGGCGCCGUCAUUGCCAAGAUUUUUUGAUGCAUCGGAUUUUUGCUGGAACCUCUUUUGGUUUUUGAUGGAACUAGCAUUUGAAUUUGCUGCAUAGGCUAUGAUGAUGAUGGGACGGCGAUGGACACCGGCUACCAUGGGUCUUUUGCUGCAUUGGUCUUUUUUUGCUUGAACCAACAAUCAUUUUUGCUCCAACCAGCCUAUGAAGAGAUGGAACCGGCAAGAUUAUUUAUUGUUUUUGCUGGAACCUUCAUUUUUUUUCUUGUUAGAACAGUUUUUGUUUUUUGCUGGAACCGGUGUUUUUUAUGCUACAUCAGGCUGAUUGUUUUGCUUCAACAGAUUACUGGAGUUUUCGUUUUGCUACAAUCGGCAUGAGGAAAGCUUCAAUCGUGAAAAAAAGCACCAACCAAAGAGAGUGGGUAAAAGCUUGGAUCCGGCGAGAACCGGUGCUGCGAGGACGGCGAGCCAGCCGGGCUUCGAAGUCAGCGGCAGGGGCGGCCAUGGUGGGCUGCAUGAGUGAGGCAGGGAUGUGCUGGAGAUUCUCUUUUUGUUGUUGUUUCCACAUGAUAUAUCAGAGAAGAAAGGGGACCAGAUCUGACGGUACAAAUAAUUGCUAUCGAACGGGUACGCGCUGACCAGCCCAAAUUUGGGCCGGUUCGCCGGCGCCUAUCAGCG